AGCUGGACUCACCUUACAGCAUCAGCUCCUCUCACGGGCCCCGUGUUAACGCAGACAGAUCAAUCUGCAAAAUUGAUUACGACGAAAAGUUGAGGACUUUUCUCUUCAGAGUCUGCUCUGCUCAUGAAACAGAUGACGCCGACAUCAUGUCGAGCUGCAGCACGACACAGUGAGAGGUCUGUUUUUGUCUUUGGUUAUCUAGCUGUAUGAGUGUUAAAUUCCUGUCAUAAAGCUAGAUAACCGAAAGUAGAAAUGACUUCCAUAACCCUGCAUUCAUUAAAAGGGACACCUCAGGCUUUGAACGCGGAUUUUUGACUUCCACCUGUCAAAGGCACCCGGUUAACGACAGGGGCUUUCUUGAAAAGAGGAUAGCCAUCAUUAAAAGAAAACAUGGCGGGAGGGUUGGAACGCUUCGUCCGGAUUUGCCACCUCCUCCUCCUCCUCUCCCCUCCCCCUACUCCUCAACCCUUUAUGCCCAAGAGCCUCUAAUGCCAUCUGCACUGCCAACUGGGGGACGCCCUGCCCGUGCCAGGAGGUGGACAAAGACCCUGCCAUAUCCUGCGAGUAUGAGCGCGCUCAGAGGAGCCAUCUUGGGAUAGUUGUUGCCGCGACACCUAAAAUGGCUGGGCCUGGCAUAGGAGGAUGGGACAGGAUCUGCAGGCCCCUCUUGAAGGAAGAGACACGAGGAGAUCAUGGACCGGAUUCGCCAAAACGAGUCACUUGAGCUUAAACCUGGGAGAUUGAUUAGUCAUCACAGAUAGAGAAAUCUUAUGUUAAAGGACUGUCGGAAAAAAAGAUACUAUGUAACCCUGUAAUGCAUAAUAACCUACACUUUUAUAAAUUAUUUAAUUUAAAGAUCCUGUUAUAUGUGACUAGAUAUUUCUAAUACAAGUGUAAUAUUUUUCAAAUUAAAUCUAAUUACCUUUCUUGCCUUUAUAGGUUAUACAUAUUUUAAUUAAAAUGUUUUGUUCAUAAUGAUUAAACCGAAUUCAUAUCUAUCUAUUUUAAGAUAAAUUUUUUAAAGUUCACUGCUGUCAA